AGAGUUUGAUCCUGGCUCAGGAUUAACGCUGGCGGCGUGCCUAACACAUGCAAGUCGAACGAGGGGGCAACCCCUAGUGGCAGACGGGUGAGUAACACGUGGUCAACCUACCGCCUUGUGGGGGAUAACCAGCCGAAAGGUUGGCUAAUACCGCAUACGUCUUCGGUCGGCAUCGAUCGUCGAUAAAAGGAGCAAUUCGC
rnacentral:rRNA from 1 species